AAUACUAUACUUUCAGGGAUCAUUUCUAUAGUAUCCAACUAGAGAAAUGCACUCGAAAGUGAUCAGCUGAGCAAUAAAAAAGAGAGGAAGGUUAGCAUUUAAAAAUUGC